AAGGAUACUACAACAAAUGCAAUAAUAUAUUUCUUACCAGAACUUCUGCUGAGGACUGAGACCAGGCUAUAGAAUGCUGCUGGAGUGCAUAAGAUGGCCGCGUCUCAGCCAGAGCCAAUCCGGAGAGGUUUUACUUUCGCACAUGGACCGGAGUCUCUCCUCAGUGCACACAUGACAGGAGCGGGAGAAUUGCCCUCCAGUGUGGGUACAUGUCGACCUCUACUGGCUAAGCGACAUACUGCCAUACAUUGAGUCAUUAACCACACUGUCUGUCGUGUUCAACAGUGUUCUCAUUGUGACUGUAUGAAAUUCAUGACACUUUUAGACUCUUAUGGCAUAAAAGUAUAAUAAAACCAUACUUCAAUGUC